CCCAGAGUUCCAGUGGAAACUCCUGAUAGGGACCAGGACGAACCCUCAGUUCUGGGUGACCAAAAGAGGAAGACGCCAGCCAAAUGGGCUGAGACCAGAGGACGAAGCUUUCUUUCCUAGAACACUGCUGAUACCAAGCAAGCAUGUCACAAGAGAAAGCCAAAUGACUGUGAAACUAGUACGAGUCAUACCCCAAGUGAGCUGUUAUUGUCAUU